rnacentral:rRNA from 1 species
CCAANUGGAGGCUGCAGUGGGGAAUAUUGCGCAAUGGGCGAAAGCCUGACGCAGCGACGCCGCGUGGGUGAUGAAGGCCUUCGGGUCGUAAAGCCCUGUCGGGAGGGAAGAAACAUCUCGGGCCUAAUAUGCCCAAGAAUUGACGGUACCUCCUAAGGAAGCACCGGCUAACUCCGUGCCAGCAGCCGCGGUAAUACGGAGGGUGCUAGCGUUGUUCGGAAUCACUGGGCGUAAAGGGCGUGUAGGCGGUUUGUUAAGUCUGAUGUGAAAUCCCCUCGCUCAACGAGGGAACUGCGUCGGAUACUGGCAGACUUGAGUACCGGAGAGGAAGGUGGAAGUCCCGGUGUAGCGGUGAAAUGCGUAGAUAUCGGGAGGAACACCGGUGGCGAAGGCGGCCUUCUGGACGGAUACUGACGCUGAGACGCGAAAGCGUGGGGAGCAAACAGGAUUAGAUACCCCGNUANUC